rnacentral:rRNA from 1 species
GGAGACAUUACGGGAGGCAGCAGUGGGGAAUAUUGGACAAUGGGGGCAACCCUGAUCCAGCAAUGCCGCGUGUGUGAAGAAGGCCUUCGGGUUGUAAAGCUCUUUCGGCUGGAACGAUAAUGACGGUACCAGCAGAAGAAGCUGCGGCUAACUACGUGCCAGCAGCCGCGGUAAUACGUAGGCAGCGAGCGUUGUUCGGAGUUACUGGGCGUAAAGAGUGCGUAGGCGGUGCGGCAAGUCUGGUGUGAAAUCUCCCGGCUUAACUGGGAGGGUGCGCUAGAAACUGCCGUGCUAGAGUGUGGGAGAGGUAAGCGGUAUUCCUGGUGUAGCGGUGAAAUGCGUAGAUAUCAGGAGGAACACCUGCGGUGUAGACAGCUUACUGGACCAUAACUGACGCUGAGGCACGAAAGCGUGGGUAGCACCACAGGAUUUAGAUACCCUGGUAGUCCACGCCCUAAACGAUGCAUACUUGGUGUGGGUGAUUCAUUUCAUCCGUGCCGGAGCUAACGCGUUAAGUAUGCCGCCUGGGGAGUACGGUCGCAAGGCUGAAACUCAAAGGAAUUG